rnacentral:misc_RNA from 1 species
GUGAAUCAUCAAAUCUUUGAACGCAAAUUGCACUCUCCGGUUUUCCGGGAGAGUAUGCCUGUUUGAGGGUCAGCCUAAAAAAAAUCGACAUUGUUGCUGUUAUUUAAUGGUGACUUUCGGCGGAGAUUGGGUUAUCUUAAACCUUUUUUUUUUGGUUUUAGCGACUUAAAAUUUUUUUUCAAGAUUCCAUUAACGUUUUUAAAGUUUUUUUUUUUUUUUCGUUUUA